rnacentral:lncRNA from 1 species
GUUCAAUCAGUUGCUAAGUCUUGCAUUCUAUUCAUAUCUUCACAUUUAACUGUUAUUCCAUCUCCAUUACUGAUGAGGUCAUAUUGAGGGUGUCAUAUUGACUUGAUGGGUAUGAGGUACUGGCUAAGAAAUCUAUGAACCAGAAGGCUAUGAAGUGAACUAUGAUGAAUGAUGAAAGUCAAAAGAUAUAAUGUAGGUGCUGCCAGGGAGGGCCCAGUUGAAGCAAGAUGAUAUGAAUUUGCAUGUUCACGGUUAAUAUGAUCGUGGGACUUCCUCCAAAGGUGUUGACCAGCAGAUUUCUUGAAGAUGAAGAUGAAGCCUGUCCAACCACUUUCAUAUACAGGCAUACUUCAGAGAUAUUGACGGUUCAGUUUCAGAUACCUGAAAAUGGCAAACAUUGCAGUAAACUCACCAAUUCUCUCUAUGGAGGUGAAUAACAUUGUUCAUGGAGUCCUUUGUAAGUAUCUUCGAUCAUGUAUUGAUAAGAGUAGCUAAGAUUUUUACAGUUGAUCAUUAUAAUAUUGCUGUCAAUGUAUACAAUUCCCCCUACUUCUGCUCACUUUGCUUUGUAUCAGCUCAUAUAAGUCUUCCCAGGUUUUCCUGAAAAAUCCUGGUUUAUCAUUUCUUACAGCUUAUACUAUUCCAUCACAAUAAUCAUAUGUCAUGACUUGUUCGGCCAUUCCUCAGCUUAUGGGCAUCCUUCAGUUUCUAGUUCUUUGACACCACAAAGAGCUGCUAUAAAUAUUUUUGUACAAGUAGAU